AUGCGAUGGAGGCGCAGCGUAGCAUGAUCAUCGAGACGAGAGAAAUUAAAUUUCUAGUCGGUAUUACGUCGUUACCCGAGCAGAACCGAAAAUUCGAGAGCAGUAGCGAGUAAAGAUAACGUAAUUACGAAGCGCUACGUGUAAUUGGAAGAAUAGUUCGUUCAUUAGGCGACGUUCGAAAUUCAAUUAUCGUUCGUAUUGCUUUGAGGUGCCAUCUUAACGGAGAGUGUAUGGAUAUUCAACAUUUUUUUUAACGAUCAUAUCCUAUUCUCUCUCUUUCUCUCUCUGUUUCUCUUUGAGAAUGUGAAAAUUUUCAAUUGACUUAUAAAAAUUUUAACACGUUUAAGUAAUACUUUCUCCAUUUGGUAAACGAACGAGCAAGUGAAUAAUUGGAAAAAAAGAGGGGGGGAAAAAAUAAUAAAACGAAUAUCCCGCUAUUUCGUUAUACGUCCUAUUUAUAUCAACUUUCUAGGUUUCUCCUACGAAACUCACUUUUCCAAGAUGGCCGUCAUAGUCGCAAAAAAUGAACUACUCGAUUGUUGGGCGAAUGUAAUCCAAUCUCUCAAUUAAUGCCAUUGCUUUGCGCAACGCUUUCCGGGAUAAUGACGAAUAUCUUCCGGUUAGAUCGACAAGUUAGUGCUUCGUAUUCCUAUUUUAUUUUCAAGGAGCAAAGCCAAGUGUUUUUCUAACUGCGGAAAGCACAGGCUUCUCUUUAUUAAAGAGGUCAUGGCUGGUGCGCAGCAAACCACGAAGAGGAAAAGUUACAAUGAAGAAGAUGAAGAAGAAGAAGAAGAAAGGGGGAAAAAAAGAAAUCAACAAGCAUAUAUCGAGGGAAAUAUUACUCGUUCAUAUGUAUGGGCGUUAAAGAAAUUACAAUAAACGUCUCUCUCUCUCGUGGGGUAUGAGCGUUGUAAUUAAAUAGUCACGAAGAGAAAAAUGAUUAAACGACGACCGGUGGGGGAGAGUGGAAGGAAGGAAGGAAGGAAGGAUCAUCCUGGGGAUUGUUCGAACGAAAGAUAAAUUGUUUUCACGACACGAAGAGGAAAAUGCAAUAUAAUUGAAGCUAUUAUUUCUCUUUUCUCGUUCUUUCGCAGAAAAUAAUAUAACCUUCACCGGAAAACAUCCAUUUGUCACGUUAUAGUAAGGAUCCGUUUGAAAAAAAUGCUGAGUCUUGUUGUGUAUGUUUGUGUAUAUAUGUGUGCGCGUAUAUAUAUAUAUAUAUAUAUAUAUAUAUAUAUAUAUAUACACGUAUGUACACACGUAUGUACAUACGUAUAAUUCGCCUCAUUGGCAUAUCGAGUAACGAAGGGUGAACCACUUUUGCUGGUAUUAAAAUUCAAAGCAUAUCGGACGCUUUGCAUACCUCGCUCCUUUCCUGAUCUCUCGCCGUGAAAAUAUUGCAGGAUGUCGAGCGAUGAAAAUGUACGAUCGAUCGGUCGCCAUAGCGCAUCGACGAGAAUAAAAUUGCGCUGAAAGAAUUUGACGCGGCACGAAUUUCGAUUCAAAAGUACUCGAAUAUAGUUACUAUCUUUCUCUUCUAUCUUCCUUUACUUUCUAAACAAGCAUUCAUUGUAUCGGUAUUAAGAAAUUGAAAUAAUUGAUUAUAAACAUUAACGUUUCAAUAUUUGUAUUCAAACAUAUGAGUAUUAGAAAUUUUUAUUCAAAAUAUAUAGAGAAAUUUUUAAUCCGUAUUUUCUAGAAAGUUACUAUCGAUGUUUUUAUCCAAAAACGAUUUUAAUAUUUGUAACAUCACGAAGAAUCAAAAAGAAUCGUAAUUUCGAUUUAAAAGUAUUCGAAUCUUUCCCCCUCCCCCUCCCCCCUCUUUCUCAUUCUUUCUCUGAUUUGUUACUUUCUAACCAAGUAUUUUCAUUAAAUAUUUAGAUAUUUAAUUAUGAAAAUAUUUGUUGUAUUAGAACAUUCGAUGAAGAUUAAAUAUUUUGAUUCAAA